AAUAAAAUGUUACAUAUUCAUUUAUUUUGUAAAAAAUAAAUAAAUAUAUAUAUAUAUAUAUAUCAAUAUUGUUAUGCUGAUUUCUCAAUCAGGAACCCCCAGGAUGAUUUUUAAAGCACUCAGAAGUACCAAGAAUGACUUCAUAAUCACCAGGUGGGCUGGUGCAAGGUACCUGGAGCAUCUACUCAACAACUGGCUGAGAAAGUGUUAAUGCUCUCCUAUGCACUGAGACCUCAGCUGCACUCACUGAUUGCUGAGGUUGUCAGCCCAGCAGCCCUGGUGACUUGGGAAAUGUCUGUGUUAUAAGGAGGAACUCUUCAGCUAGAAAGAAAAGAAAAAGAGAUUCCUUGGAAAGGAAGGGAGACACCUCUGCUCUUGGAGCCACUGGGAGAGAAGUUGCCAGAGCACAAGGGCAGGCUGGAAGGGGAGCCUAGCGACAAGAGAAUUUGCAGCACACUGGAGAUCACUGAGAAUGGGGGACAGACAACCUGCCAAAAGUGCAAGCUGACAAAGAGGCUUUUCCUGGUGCUUGGAAGACCAUGCAGUCUGCCAAAACCCAGAAAGUGACUGAGUUGGAUUUCAGCCAAGCCCUCCAAAAAAGCUUUAUCCACCAAGAACACAACACGAAGUCCACCUGUCCUGAAACGAGGAGGCCACAGGCACCCUGGGAUGGCUGGCAUUCCUUCAGGGCCUCACCUGGCAGAACAUGGUGUGUGUGUGAAGGACUGAAGCUGUGGCCAGCAAUCAGGCUGCCAUCAGCUUCUCCCCUGCCUUGGGGAGCUCCUUCAUCCCGAGCUGCCCCUCUGGAAGAGCCUGGCACGGAGCAAGUGUCCUCACUGCGUGUCUGCUGGAAGGUCCAGGAUUGUUUUGUUGCUACAGAAGGCGUGAAAGCAGGUACAUGGUUGUGUGACUGCGUGACGUUGCCACCAGCUCUUCAGCGGCACUGGGUGAGUAACAGCCUUUCUGUCACAGUCGCUGUGUGGUCUAGCAGCUCCCUGCACAUGUGGGCUGGGUUGAAGUGAGAUGGAAAUUUCAGGGGGUUGACAAAAAUAAAUACUUUGUUUCAUGUCAG
ensembl:lncRNA